rnacentral:rRNA from 1 species
UACGUAGGGACCAAGCGUUGUUCGGAUUUACUGGGCGUAAAGGGCGCGUAGGCGGCGUGACAAGUCACUUGUGAAAUCUCCGGGCUUAACCCGUAACUGCCAAGUGAUACUGUCGUGCUAGAGUGCGGAAGGGGCAAUCGGAAUUCUCGGUGUAGCGGUGAAAUGCGUAGAUAUCGAGAGGAACACCUGAGGUGAAGACGGGUUGCUGGGCCGACACUGACGCUGAGUGCGCGAAAGCCAGGGGAGCAAACGGG